rnacentral:rRNA from 1 species
GCCUACGGGGCGCAGCAGUGGUGAAUAUUGCGCAAUGGGCGAAAGCCUGACGCAGCGACGCCGCAUGAGGGAUGAAGGUCUUCGGAUCGUAAACCUCUGUCAGCAGGGAAGAACGGUCACUGUGCUAAUCAGCAGUGAAUUGACGGUACCUGCAAAGGAAGCACCGGCUAACUCCGUGCCAGCAGCCGCGGUAAUACGGAGGGUGCGAGCGUUAAUCGGAAUUACUGGGCGUAAAGCGCUCGUAGGCGGUAUGCCAAGUCAAGGGUGAAAUCCCCGCGCUCAACGUGGGAACUGCCUUUGAAACU